rnacentral:rRNA from 1 species
GACGAACGCUGGCGGCGUGCCUAAUACAUGCAAGUCGAGCGGAUCUUCAUUAGCUUGCUUUUGAAGAUCAGCGGCGGACGGGUGAGUAACACGUGGGCAACCUGCCUGUAAGACUGGGAUAACUUCGGGAAACCGGAGCUAAUACCGGAUAAUCCUUUUCCCCUCAUGAGGAAAAGCUGAAAGACGGUUUCGGCUGUCACUUACAGAUGGGCCCGCGGCGCAUUAGCUAGCUGGUGAGGUAACGGCUCACCAAGGCGACAGUGCGUAGCCGACCUGAGAGGGUAAUCGGCCACACGGGGACGGAGACACAGCCCGGACUCCUACGGGAGGCAGAAGUAGGGAAGCUUCCGCAAUGGACGAAAGUCUGACGGAGCAACGCCGCGUGAGCGAUGAAGGCCUUCGGGUCGUAAAGCUCUGUUGUCAGGGAAGAACAAGUACCGGAGUAACUGCCGGUACCUUGACGGUACCUGACCAGAAAGCCACGGCUAACUACGUGCCAGCAGCCGCAGUAAGAC